AGGCGUUGACGACCAGCCUAAUCAAAAGUCUCCUCUUCAUAACAUCCACAAGAGACUCUUCACUCAUUAUCUUUUUCAACAGCCUUAUCAACAAUGCAAGAGCUCCAUGAAGCGGCAACAGCCUAUUACAACAACGGCUCCACGGAGCAACAGAAUUUGGCAUGGCAGUUUUUCUGUUCAAUGGACGGUGACGGUAAUGGCCGUGUCAGCUUUCAAGAGUAUACCGACUUCUUGUGUAGAACCACUGGUUUAGCUUGGGUCCAUCGCGACAUGUUUCAGGAACUAGACCGAAAUAGAGACGGCCAGCUUGACUUCUGGGAGGUUUUGACGCUUUACUAUGUGGCUCGGACGCGGACCAUCGGCUGCCGCACGUGCCUCCAGCCUCUCAUUGGUUUACACUUUACGUGUGUAACGUGCUUCGAAUCGCAGUGUGUUGGAGAGACGUUUGAUCUCUGCGUCAACUGUUAUAUGCGGCGGAAUUACAAUCAUCCGCAUCAUGUCUUCCUGGAUAGUUUCGUUUUAUUACGAUCUAGGCGUAGCCACCCUCCUCUGUAUAGUCAAUAUCUGUUAAAACACAACAAAAAAUUAGCCAAAUCGCAUUAGCAAGACAAGGGUUCAUAAAACAACCAAACAAUGGCAUCGUCUUCUCUAAAGUUGCAGGAGCCGCCUGGCGACCAAAACAUGCCCGAACAACGACCUGCGAGGGUGGUUGCAGAUGGGAUGGUGGGUCGCGAUGAGCGCAAUGGAAAUUGCAAUUUCUAUGGGACUCAGUACCUUUUGCACUAUUAUGUAAAAACUCAUUUUCCAUCUCAUUGUUGUUUUUUUUGGUCAAAA